rnacentral:rRNA from 1 species
UACGUAGGGUGCGAGCGUUGUCCGGAAUCAUUGGGCGUAAAGCGCGCGUAGGCGGCCCGAUAAGUCCGCUGUGAAAGUCAAAGGCUCAACCUUUGAAUGUCAGCGGAUACUGCCGGGCUAGAGUCCGGAAGAGGCGAGUGGAACUCCUGGUGUAGCGGUGGAAUGCGCAGAUAUCAGGAAGAACACCAACGGCGAAGGCAGCUCGCUGGGACGGAACUGACGCUAAGGCGCGAAAGCGUGGGGAGCGAACAGG